UAUAGUUGGCAGGAAUAUGCUUCUAAACUGAAAGCAGCGAUUGCCAAGGGAGGGAGACAUGUGACGAAUGUUUCUGAAAACGUUGGUAUACAGGUUGCAGCUAUUUCUCCUGGGGACCUGGAGGAAGCUGAGAAUGAGUUGGGCGAGUAUGUGAAACUGCGUCCAAAAUUACCCCGCUAUAGUGAAAUAGAUCAGGAAUUGAUGGCGGCUGGUCAAGUGGGGGUUUAUCGAUCCAUGGGUGUGCGAGAUUUGACUAGUAUUGUAAAUACAUUGCCACUCAUGAAAUCUAACAGUACCAAUUCUGAAUUUUGGGAUCGUUUGUGGGUAAUGGCAAGAGCCAACCGCCUAGCAGUAAAAGAUAAAAGAUCCGUAUUCAAUUUGGGAGCAAGUCUGCCCGUCUACAUACACGGGACAGAUCAUCUCACCCCUCCUUUACAGCCACCAGCGAAUGCAGAUGAUUACGUAACUCAGUACAGAGUGCUGCGUACUGAAGUACAGCGUGCAGUUGGAAAUGGAAUUCAAACUUUCACUAAUGUGACAAUGAUUAGGCAGGGUCCUAAUGAACCAUUUGUUGAUUACACUGAGCGAUUCACAAAGGCACUGAAAGAAUUUGUGGCCGCACUAUGGGGGCCUGACUUAGAUUCUCCAAUCAUGCUCCACACUGCGCAGUUAAAUAUGAAUGCUAAAUUUACACAGUUAUUUCAUUCUUCUCUGUCAACAAUUAUUGACUGAUCUUCUUUUGUUGCAUGGGGGACACGGGCUCAAGACAUCGUGGAACAACAAAAGAAGGGACUGGUUGCUGCAGUUGGUCAGCCCUCUGCUCCAGCAUUUCGUUGUUAUCAUUGCCAGUGCGAUGGUCACUAUGCAAACAGGUGCCCUGAUCGAAAUUUAGAGUGAAAUUUCAGAAAGCCUAGUUCCUCUUUUCAACAACUGCGGACACCAAAACCACUUCCUCGAGAUUGUGCUUAAAAUAACCCUGGUGCAGAGAAGCAGGGUGCUGACAUGGAGGGUCAGAUAAAACAACUCAUAAAGCAGGUUGAAAAAUUGACAAGAGCCCUUGAGAAUACAGACUGACAGAUAGUGGGCUCCAUUUUAUAUGAACACGAAGACCCUCAUCCAUUUUUACAUUCUAACCUAGGAGGCCAGGAUAGCUACAUUCUUGUGGGCCCCCGGGUCUGCAUCUCAGUAACUGUUAUUAAAUUGCCUUUAACAAACAAACAAAUGCAUCUUCAAGGUAUAUCUGGUCGCAGUCUUUUCACACAGUCUCUAUUGAUUCCUCUAAUAAUAUAUCCAUUUGAACAGCCUUUUUGUGUGCAAUUCUGGGUUGGACAAAGCCAAGUUGGCAUGGCAAUGGGAAUGGAUAUAUUGAGUAAAUUGGAAGCAGAUGUUUUGCUGACUAGGGGUCAAUUAAUUAGUCAGUAUUUACCAAUUCCCAUACCAGUGUUUAAUAAAACUGGAAUUCCUAAAUUAAGCCUGGGAGCUAUCACAGUUAAUGAAGUCACAGGAGUCUACUGAUUCCUCAGUGAUACAAUAUUUCUCUGAGAAAUUUCCAAAUUUGUGGUCAACUUCUAAACUUGAUGUUGGUCUUUGCAGGAUUGAGCCUUUGAAUGUUUCAGGUCCUAUACAUCCUCCAGUGUUUCAGUAUCCUCUUCAGAGAGAAGCAGAGUGAGCUGCACAGGAAAUUGUGAACCAGCUUCAGGAAUCAGGGAUUUUGGUACGAGUGCAUGCUGUCACAGAAAUAUUCUGUGUAUAUUUACCACACACGACUGGUUCUAAGGGUGACUCUUUGAUGUGACUUCUGCAACAGUGCAGCUCAUUGACAUUCUGGGAGUGGUUGCUGUGCUUGUGGCUGGAC
ensembl:lncRNA